rnacentral:lncRNA from 1 species
UAUUAUAGAAAGAUUAAAUUCACAUUUUUAAUACAAUAUAAGAAACAAUUACAUAAUUUAACCAAAAACUGAAAAACAUAUUUAUUUGAUACCCACCAUUUAAAGGGUUCAGGCAAAUACCACUGCACCAAAUACAUUCGAAGAAAACAAAAAAAGAAGUUAAUUCAAUUGCUCGAAUCAUAGUGAGGACAAAUAACAGUUGUUAAACCAAAUUUGAGUUAACUGAUGGUUGCCAUGAAUUGUUGUACGGCCUCUGAUUUC